rnacentral:rRNA from 1 species
UACGUAGGUGGCAAGCGUUGUCCGGAAUGACUGGGCGUAAAGGGUACGUAGGUGGCUUAGCAAGUUAGUUGUGAAAUCCCGGGGCUCAACUCCGGUGCUACAAUUAAGACUAUUGGGCUUGAGUGCAGGAGGGGUAAGUGGAAUUCCUAGUGUAGCGGAGGAAUGCGUAGAUAUUAGGAGGAACACCAGUGGCGAAGGCGACUUACUGGACUGUAACUGACACUGAAGUACGAAAGCGUGGGGAGCAAAC